GCUGGGACAGCUCAGUCGAUAGAGCAGGAGGCUCUUAAUCUCAGGGCUGUGGGUUUGAGUCUCAUAUUGGGCA